CAGUCGCCACGGUAAUACGUAGGGUGCAAGCGUUAAUCGGAAUUACUGGGCGUAAAGCGUGCGCAGGCGGUUAUAUAAGACAGAUGUGAAAUCCCCGGGCUCAACCUGGGAACUGCAUUUGUGACUGUAUAGCUAGAGUACGGCAGAGGGGGAUGGAAUUCCGCGUGUAGCAGUGAAAUGCGUAGAUAUGCGGAGGAACACCGAUGGCGAAGGCAAUCCCCUGGGCCUGUACUGACGCUCAUGCACGAAAGCGUGGGGAGCAAACAGGAUUAGAUACCCCCGUAGUCCCUGUCUCUUAUAA
rnacentral:rRNA from 1 species